rnacentral:tRNA from 1 species
GGACAUUUAGCUCAGGUGGUUAGAGCCAUCGCCUCAUAAGCGAUUGGUCGGAGGUUCAAGUCCUUCAAUGUCCACCA